rnacentral:piRNA from 1 species
UCUCUUCAAUAGGUUUUGUUUAGUGGGG